UACGGAGGGUGCAAGCGUUAUCCGGAUUUACUGGGUUUAAAGGGUGCGUAGGUGGGUUGGUAAGUCAGUGGUGAAAUACUUUCGCUUAACGAAGGAACUGCCAUUGAUACUACCAGUCUUGAAUACAGUGGAGGUAGGCGGAAUGCGUCAUGUAGCGGUGAAAUGCUUAGAUAUGACGCAGAACACCAAUUGCGAAGGCAGCUGGCUACACAUAUAUUGACACUGAGGCACGAAAGCGUGGGGAUCAAACAGG
rnacentral:rRNA from 1 species